rnacentral:rRNA from 1 species
CCUACGGGUGGCAGCAGUGAGGAAUAUUGGUCAAUGGACGAGAGUCUGACCCAGCCACGUAGCGUGAAGGAUGACUGCCCUCUGGUUUGUAAACUUCUUUUAUAAAGGAAUAAAACGAGGCACUACUGUCUUUUUGCGUCUCCUCUAUGUACAAGCAUCGGCUAACUCCGUGCCAGCAGCCGCGGUAAUACGUAGGAUCCGAGCGUUAUCCGGAUUUAUUGGGUUUAAAGGGAGCGUAGAUGGGUUGUUAAGUCAGUUGUGAAAGUUUGUGGCUCAACCGUAAAAUUGCAAUUGAUCCUGGCAGACGUGAGUGCAGUUGAGGUAGGCGGAAUUCGUGGUGUAGCGGUGAAAUGCUUAGAUAUCACGAAGAACACCGAUUGCGAAGGCAGCUUACUAAACUGUGACUGACAUUGAGGCUCGAAAGUGUGGGUAUCAAACAGGAUUAGAUACCCCAGUAGUC